rnacentral:lncRNA from 1 species
UCUCCUGGGGAACAAGGAAGUACAUGACUCCAAAAGCUUUGUGUGUGCACCAGCCAUCAAGAAGAUCAAAGCAUUCAGCUGUCUAGCUAUAGUCCAUAUCCAGUGCCAAGAGGGAGACUGGUAACUAUGCCUGAGAUGAUAGAAGUUCAGUGUUGGGCAUUAAUAGCUCUAAAAACUGUUCCUAUGAGGAAUAAAGCUUUUCUUUGAAGUUGAGGCUUUCAUUAUGUCAGCUGAAUGUGAUCAGGUACACCAUGUGAUGAACAGACUCCUAUUUGGUGAUGACGGAAACAAAGCAGUAUUUAAAAUGUGGAAUUUUUGUCACUGGAUGGAAAGCUCCUGAUCCUUAGCUUCGGGGGUGGGGAGGUGAGAUUUCAACUCAACAGGGCUUUGGGAGGAUA